rnacentral:rRNA from 1 species
GUAGGGAAUAUUGGGCAAUGGAUGCAAGUCUGACCCAGCCAUCCCGCGUGCCGGAAGAAGGCCCUCAGGGUUGUAAACGGCUUUUGACGGUGAAGAAUCGACAGGAUGCGUCCUGUUUUGACGGUAGCCGUUGAAUAAGCACCGGCUAACUCCGUGCCAGCAGCCGCGGUAAUACGGAGGGUGCGAGCGUUGUCCGGAUUUAUUGGGUUUAAAGGGUGCGUAGGCUGGAAGGUCAGUCAGCGGUGAAAAGCUGUCGCUUAACGAUAGGCUUGCCGCAGAUACUUCCUUUCUUGGAUGAGGAGGAGGCCACUGGAACGGAUGGUGUAGCGGUGAAAUGCAUAGAUAUCAUCCAGAACACCGAUUGCGAAGGCAGGUGGCUGUACCUUAAUCGACGCUGAUGCACGAAAGCGUGGGGAUCGAACAGGAUUAGAAACCCGUGUAGUCC